CCCAGCAUCCAUCCUUUCCCUCCUUUGGACUGGUUUUCUUCCACGGUUCACUCUUUCCCUCAACUGUGAGCCUGGGGGACAACCCUGUUCCUCCUCCCUGCUCCCCCUCUACCCCACUCCUCCCCACCCCACCCCUCCACCCAGACAAAGAUCUGUGCUCCAGGGAUGGGCAUGUGACCGAAAUUGUCCAAUGAGGAGCAACCUCGGGGCUGUUGCUUAGCCUGCUGGCUCAGAGCAGUGCUGUCGACCCCCCAGGUCAGUGUAACCUGUGGGUGUGCCACCUGGACUUGUAGCAGGCAUUUGGUCGCCUUGUAGACAGAGCUGGCCUGUGGAAAAGAGCUGGCCUGUGGCUAAGAGAGUCUCAGAGAAAUUGAGCCAGAACUCUGAUCAUACCGUACCUGAAGUCUCAUUAUCCCUAGACAGUUACAGAAGCCAAAAUUCAUUGUUUUAGGCAAGAUUCAGUGAUGGUGUCCAUUUCUUGCAACGUGAAGAUAUUCAUUGACAAUGGUGAUUCCACCCUCACAUCAAUCCUAGGAAAAUGGGCGGGUAAAUACAGAAUUUACGACCUAUUUUCACUUUUUUUUUUUCUUUUUUUUUAAGAUUUUAUUUAUUUAGUCAGAGAGAGAGAGCGAGAGUGAGCACAGGCAGACAGAGUGGCAGGCAGAGUCAGAGGGAGAAGCAGGCUCCCCGCAGAGCAAG
rnacentral:lncRNA from 1 species